UAGGGAAUCUUCCGCAAUGGGCGAAAGCCUGACGGAGCAACGCCGCGUGAGUGAUGAAGGUCUUCGGAUCGUAAAACUCUGUUAUUAGGGAAGAACAAAUGUGUAAGUAACUAUGCACGUCUUGACGGUACCUAAUCAGAAAGCCACGGCUAACUACGUGCCAGCAGCCGCGGUAAUACGUAGGUGGCAAGCGUUAUCCGGAAUUAUUGGGCGUAAAGCGCGCGUAGGCGGUUUUUUAAGUCUGAUGUGAAAGCCCACGGCUCAACCGUGGAGGGUCAUUGGAAACUGGAAAACUUGAGUGCAGAAGAGGAAAGUGGAAUUCCAUGUGUAGCGGUAAAAUGCGCAGAGAUGUGGAGGAACACCAGUGGCGAAGGCGACUUUCUGGUCUGUAACUGACGCUGAUGUGCGAAAGCGUGGGGAUCAAACAGG
rnacentral:rRNA from 1 species